ACGUGAAGAUGAAGGCCAUGAACCGGUUCUUCGAAGAAGGCGACAAGGUGAAGGUGACGCUCAAGUUCCGUGGCCGUGAAAUGGCCCACCAGGAGCUGGGCAUGAAGCUGCUCAUGCAGGUCAAGGAAGACACCGUCGAAGUUGCCAAGGUGGAAGCCGAGCCGAAGCUCGAAGGCCGCCAGAUGAUGAUGGUUCUGGCGCCGAAGUGAUCGGCGCCUCUCGGGUGGCUUGAUGGGUCCGGUGCUGAUGCGUCGGCCUUUGGUGCCCGCCUGAAGGCCUGCGGUUUCCGCCGCA
rnacentral:misc_RNA from 1 species